CACAUAGUAUCUGAUUUUAUUUUAUUUCUACUCACUUUUUUCGUACAUACUACAUUGUUAUCUUUUGAGGGUGUGGGUUGUUUUUUUUUUUUCAACUUUUUUUGUUCUGUGGUUGGUACCAAAGUGGUGUUAUUAUUGAUCCCAAAUUUUCUUCUGUUUCACAUUAGGUCAAUGUUAAAACUAGAAACAAGACUGCUGAAUAUUGUUUUCUAAUGUUUAUCUUCCAUAAAUCUAGGUCUUAAAAAACAGAAUAAUGCGAUACUUGGUUUUUAACACAAUGUUUGCUUAUCAGUAUCUAAACAUAUACACACAUGCAAUUAAAACUGUAUAUUCUGUUCGUAUCCAGGCUGGCCAACAUGGUGAAACUCCAUCUCUCCGAAAAAUAAAAAUUAGCCGGAUGUGGUGGCAUAUGCCUAUAAUCCCAGCUACUUGGGAGGCUGAGGCAGGAGAAUCGCUUGAACCCGGGAGGCAGAGGUUGCAGUGAGCCAAGAUUGCACCACUGCACUCCAGCUUGUGCAACAGAGCAAGACUCUGUCUAAAACAAAACAAAACUGUAUUCUAAGCUUAUUUGGGGAAAAUGGACCAAUUUUCAAACUAAUUGAGGAAAUUCAGGAGCAUAACGAGUUGGUGGCAAUAUCAUUUAUAUCAAUAUAGUCAUUUAUAUCACUAUAUAUGUAUUAUAUCAACAUAGUGAUUCCAACCCAAACCACUAUAUUCAUUUUCACUUCAGCAACAUAGAAAUAGCCAUUGAUCAUUUCAAUCAGAAAAGAUCCUGCUAAAUGUGUCCCCUGACUUUGUGAAGAUGUGGUGACGUGGCCGUUUCAUCCAAGUGUUCUGGUCCAGCCCAGAGGUAGGUGGAGUUAGAUUUCUGGAGCCUCGUGGAGGCGUUCUGUGGCUACACAGUGACCCCUACUGCUCAUUACGGGAGUGAAGAAAGCCUAGAGCGAAAUCAGGAAAACAACGUGCUGAUUCCUGAGCCUCAGAAAACUGAGAAGUAGGCAGGGCUAUACCAUUUUCUCUGCACUUUAUGAGCAUAAUAAUUCUUCAAAGGACUGGCUGCAUCUACAAAUACCUACUAAAUGGAAACCGUCAAAUCAAAUGGGAGGCUCACAGCAGAUGCCAACUCCACCGAGCGGAUCUGGGCCAGGGUGAAGAAACGGAACUGCAGAGAGGUUAAGCCACCUGGGGCAGGAACUAGGAUGGAAAUCCAGGCAGUCUUGUUGCUGAGACCAUCUCCAUAAUCCUCUGCUAAACUUCUUCCUACCGAGAAAGACAUGUUCUGGGAGAGCAAGGGCUAAGAGGCUGCUCCUUGAUUCCCCCUGAGUGCCCGCCCUCCAGCCCUCACUCCAGUGAGGGGCCUGACCUGAAACAGCUGUCUGCCCUUGCCAGGCUCAGAGAGUCUCACACUGUCACCAGGCUGGCGUGUAGUGGCGCAAUCUCGGCUCACUGCAACUUCCACCUCCCGGAUUCAAGCAAUUCUUCUGCCUCAGCCUCCUGAGUAGCUGGGACUACAGAACAGAAGCUAAAGCAGAAAGAAGUUUAAUGGAGACCUGGAAGCCUCUCCGUAAAGACUCUGGGGCAGGAAUGGGAUCUGUUUGCAGGGCUCAGGGAGGACCCACGGCUCCUGUGGAGGCUUACGCGGCACCUGAGAAGUGAUCAGUCAGGAAGAGCUACCUGGAGUACCUGAGCCCAACCAGAUAUUCUUUUCCCCGCCGUCUUCCCCGGGAUCCAGCAAUUUAUAUUCCCUACCUCAGGAAAUCUUGGAAAAGUUAUUCCAGCAGAAUGAAGCAAUGUACUAUUCCAGCAGAACAUAGUCAGGACCUGGUGACGUGGGGGUUUGGCAAUGAUCAAUGACCCUGGUGUCAUACUCUAAAUUUGUUUCAAAAGUGGCAGCAGGGGAGAAGGAGGCAGUGAAAUCAAUACUUGAAGUUUGUCUUGAUUGGAUGGGGUGUGUGUUUUCUUUUCCACCCUAGUUGUUGUUGAAGCUGUUUACCAAAAGGCUGUGCAAAUAGGAUUAGUCAGCUCCAGGGCCAUUAAUAACCCGCUGGACAGAGCUGGCUCCAUUCCAAUUGAUUUUUGAAUUUUUGAAGCUGUCCAUUUUUUUGGAGCAGAGAUGAAAGCCCCAGAGGGGCUGGUAUGAAAGCAUGAGAUUUUUGCCUGUACUGGGGCUGAUCCCACAGAUGCAGGAGAUGAAACGUUCUUCCAGUGCCAUUUGCUUUCCAUCUGAAUGAGGCAGGUCCUGCGGCAGCUCUGAAGAGGCAGGGGCCAUCACAAACGAAUAUUGCAGCAGGUCAAGGGGACACUGCUAUUGUGUGCACACUGAUGGAGACCCAGAGUAAAACGUGGCCUGAGGUUUGCCAGAAUGUGCUUAAGAAGCAAACCUCACAUACCUGAAACUCUCUUCGUGCCCUCCUGUCCUUCCAAAAACUAUCAGUUCGAAUAUCCUGAGAAAUGUCACAUAGGUAAGCUGUAGGACCAUCCUUGAGAGGUUGCUGUUGGUAAAAACCAAUGGGGCCAGAAAACAUGAAUUUAUAUCCCAGCACUCUGGGCUAUAACUUUGAGCAAAUUAAUCUCUCUGAUAUUCUAUUAUAGCAAUUGUGAAUUGACAAUGUCAUCAUAGCCCAUUUCUUAUUUCUGAAAAAGUGCUUUUUCUGGAUCUCAUUCACUUAAGAACUCAAAUUCUAAACAUGGAGACCAUCAGAGC
rnacentral:lncRNA from 1 species